UAUAUGGUACGCGUACUCGAGAGGGCGAAAGUGGGACAAAAAUUGGAAUCGUCUGUUUUGGCAACUCUGGCCGGGUGUGUAACUAGAGGGCCUACUUUAACGUAGGCUCUUAUGGGACUACCCCUUUUUAAUGGUUAUAUCAAGGUGUUUGAAUUUUUUUUUUCAUUUAAAAAAAUGUGUAUCGUGCGUAGAAUUAAUUUUUAUGCAAAGUCCAUUUUUUGGAAUUUAAUUUAAAAAUGCUUGUAUAAUUAAAAAAAAAUAAAAAUGGUCCAAGAAUUUCUGAAAGUCUUUAACUUUCCACUUCUGCUAGACUGUUCCACAUUAUAUAUUAAAAGCGGAAUUUGUUCUUUGGAAGGGAUUGCCAUGGUGAUUGCACUGCUCAUCUCCUGCUUGUCGAAGUGGUCAAAGUUUGUAAAUCUGUACGUCAUACCAUAGUCAUACCAUUCUGUAAGUUUUUGUUUAGCUUAAAAAAAUAACUUGUUACCGUUUUAAUGCUUUAUGCACCAUGCCUGCAAAAUGUUGCAUUCCUAAUUGCAAGACUGGAUAUAGCAGUAACUCCAAAGAAAAUGCAAUCAAGGAAUGUCUUAUCCUUUUCUCCACUUCAAAUAAAGAGUUGCUUGUUAAAUGGACAAAAGCAGUUCCUCGUCAAGAUUACGUUUUCACAAAGCAUUCUAAGGUAUGUAUUAAACAUUUUGAAGACACUGAUGUUCUGAAGGGAUAUACACACUAUGUUGAUGGCAAGCCAAUUUUUUCACCAUACAAAAGAUUUCGACUAAAACCUAAUGCUGUUCCCUGCAUUUUCCCCAGUAAGUAAGACAUUUACUUUUAUUGCUUACUGUUAUUUCACUAACGAUAUGUUGUUAGACUGCCCUCCCAGACAACACGCCUGGUUUUAUUCCGGGAUAAAAGCUGUCGUCUUAAAACCAUGAUGUAGGCCCCAAAAAAGACGUCUUUAAUCAGUUCCAAACUAGUGGUUUUUAUCCAAAACGUGCGGUCCGAAACGGUUUGAAAAGUACAGCUUUUAUCGGGCCCAAACUGGGCUUUCUUUGUUACUUUUUUGGGUUCCACAACGCAUCUAAAAAGACGGCUUUUAUCGGGCCCGUACGUUUUUAGCCGCAAUAGCUAUGGUCUGAAAUCGAUCUGCAAUCCUUUUUUUUUUUUUUAUUUUAUUUUGCGUGGUUUGAACUCGACUCCAGUAUUUAUAAGCUCAGGACAUAUAUGUAUUUAUAGUCGAAACCGUUCAUGGAGCAGCUCCAUGUUAGUUGCAACGUGUGCGCCAUUGACUAUACAUUGUUCAUGUGAAUGUUUUAGAAAAUUGUUCAUUAUAGUUGUUGCAAUUGGAUUGCAAUGGCCUCAAAUAGUGCAAAUGUCGUUGGUCCUAGACAAAAAAGAAGAAGAGUUCAAGCUGAACUUAACAAUAUUGUCUUAGCUAUAGCGUCUAAUUCUGCCACAAGGCAAAGUGCGUCAACAUACAGAGAAGAAGUUUACGCCGGCAGUUCGGCUGUGAAUAUAGGAGUGGAUCCAUCUGGUGGCGAUUCACCUGAUUAUACCUUAGCCGACGAUACGCAAUCCAACAAGGAUUUUCGGGAAACUCUUAAGGUAACAGAAUUUGAUUACGAAAGCGACGCGGUGCCGGUUUACAGUUCCUGCGACGAAUGCGAAGUUUCAAGUGAUGAUGAUUCCACACCUGGUGAAUAUGACUUACUUUCUGGGGUUACGUUUGACAUUAAUGGGUACGCAGCCGAUGACGCGACACCCAAACAAUUCACGGAAAAACUCGCAUCUUGGGCAGUAAAUUUUCGCGUUAAACAAAAUGCCAUCGAUAAUCUUUUGACGGAAGUGCUGCCUGCUGUUCCAUCAUAUGAAGAACUAAACCUCCCAAAAACUUGUAGGACUCUCCUUAAAACACGAAAAAAAACCACUCUUAAAAUGGUAGAACCUGGCCAUUAUUUUCACUUUGGCCUUGUUCGUGGCAUUACGUUCAUGUUAGGCAGAUACGGUUUCCAUUUGAAGGAAAAUAUGCUGAAAGAGUUCCGUUUUCUUGUAAACACAGACGGGCUUCCAAUUGCAAAGGCUUCCGGCAGCCAAGUUUGGCCCAUUCAGUGCAGGUUUUUUGAUAGUGCUAUGGUAAACUGGCCACCGUUCGUACUUGGAAUUUACCAUGGAAAUCAUAAGCCAAAAUAUGCAAAUGACUACAUGGAAGACUUUGUCAACGAGGUCAUUCAACUUCAGCGUUCCGGAUUUGUCCAUAAUGGAAAUUUAAUAAAAAUCUCGGUCUUCGGAUUCACCUGUGACGCUCCAGCGAAUGCCAUGAUCAAGUGUAUUAAAAGUCAUACAGCCUAUGAAAGUUGCCCGAAAUGUGAAGUACACGGCAAGUGGGCGGGGCGCGUCGUAUUAUUAGAAACAUCAGCUCCUGCUCGAAUCCAUGAAAAUUUUAUUAACAAAACUCAAGACGGCCACCACAAUGGUACGUCAUCAAUUUUAGAAAACUUAGGCAUCGAUAUGAUUACUUCGUUUGCAAUUGAUUACAUGCACUGUGUGUGCCUUGGUGUUGUGCGUAAGCUUUUGUGGCUUUGGAUUCGAGGACCUCUUCGUACUAGAAUCGGCCGUCAAAACAUAGACCGAAUAUCGGCUUUAUUAGUUGGAAUUGCAAAUUUUAUUCCGUGUGAUUUCGCGAGAAAGCCACGAUCCUUGAAUGAAUUACCGCGCUGGAAAGCAACCGAGCUGCGUCAAUUUCUUUUGUAUACUGGGCCAGCCGUAUUGAAGGAAAUUUUCAAAGGGAAACCUCUUCAAGAUUUUUAUGACAAUUUUAUGUUGCUUCACACUGGGAUAAAAAUUCUAUCUUUGCCUCAUCUGUGUCAGGAUCCCGUGUUGAAUAACUACGCCAAAGAGCUGUUGAUCGCGUUUGUUCAACACUGUAAAAUAAUUUACGGCGAAUGGUUCAUUUCAUAUAGCGUACAUUGCCUCAUUCAUUUGGCGGAUGACGUCAUAAAAUUUGGCCAUUUGGACAAUUUCAGCACAUUUCCAUUCGAAAACAACAUGAAGAAAAUAAAAGCUAUGAUUCGGAAAAAUGAGCGGCCUUUAAUUCAGAUUGUACGACGCAUCUUCGAAGAAGAAACAAAUGUCACUUCUUCAUGCCAAACAAGCACGGAAAAAACAGUCUUAAAAAAGAAACACACAGGAGGACCAAUUUUGAGCACAGGAGGAAGAUAAUUCAAAGUUCUUCAUUACAAUUCAAUGAUUUUGAAGUGCGAUGACGUGAACAGCUACGUUAUUCUUCAAGAUGAAACGGUUGUAAAGAUUUCAAAUAUCAUUGAGCGCAAUAACAAUGUAACAAUUAUUGGGCAGAAAUUUUACAAUAGAGGAAAAAGUGACGUAUUUUCCACACCGUUACAAUCUUCAAAACUUGGAAUUUAUUCAAUGGAAAAUUCUAGUUUAUCUUGCCAAAAUGGCUGGCCGAUUUCCGCGAUUAAAUGUAAAGCGGUUUGUUUUCCUUAUUCAGCAAAAAACGAAAAAGCAGUUUUUCCGCUAAUGCGCAAGGAAAACUAAUUGUUUAAAUCUGGCAAGUGGCAAGACUACGAAGAAGAAGAGGAGGGGUUAAAGGAAUUGUCACGGCAGAGAGCAGACAAAAAAAUGUAUAUAGUUCAUCAUGUUCUGAAAAUUUUCGUCCUAUUUUCCAUUGUCCCCAUCAUCAGUUGAUUAAAAUUGUACAUUCAUUAUUCGUCGUUGAGUCUAGGCAUCAUCGUGAAGCAAUAACGGUACCCUUUCUUUGAGGUGAUCCACCUUGUGUAAGAAGUAAUAGUGGAAGAAAUGGGAAAGAAAAAGCCACAGCAGAUAGCAGAGAUAAGAAUGCAAACAGUUAAUCUUUUAAAAAGUUUUGCCCCAUCAACAUCACUUGAUGAAAGUUAUGCAUCAGCUAUUCGUCAUCAAGCCUAUUCAUCAUCCUAACAUUCUUUACGGUACACUAUUAACACAGUCAUCGUUGAUGUUGUGGUGGAUUCGUUUCUUAGCAGACCCUUGUGUCCACAUCAGAACGAUGGUGUUGUUUUCUUGUGCGAAUGCCUGCCUAAUGGGUUUCAAAACACCACAUAUGUAUGGUACUAUUGUAGCUGAUGAAAUGGGGUUGGGCAAAACGCUGCGAUGCAUUACAGUUAUAUGGUUAGUGGUGCAAAAGCCAAAAAAAGAAAAAAACUCGUUCGUGACCCCACCGCUAACUUUGCUUCUUCGAGAAAGCCAAAA